UGGGACACUGCCUGUUGGAAGGGGAUAACUACUGGAAACGGUAGCUAAUACCGCAUAACGUCGCAAGACCAAAGAGGGGGACCUUCGGGCCUCUUGCCAUCGGAUGUGCCCAGAUGGGAUUAGCUAGUAGGUGGGGUAACGGCUCACCUAGGCGACGAUCCCUAGCUGGUCUGAGAGGAUGACCAGCCACACUGGAACUGAGACACGGUCCAGACUCCUACGGGAGGCAGCAGUGGGGAAUAUUGCACAAUGGGCGCAAGCCUGAUGCAGCCAUGCCGCGUGUAUGAAGAAGGCCUUCGGGUUGUAAAGUACUUUCAGCGGGGAGGAAGGCGAUGAGGUUAAUAACCUUGUCGAUUGACGUUACCCGCAGAAGAAGCACCGGCUAACUCCGUGCCAGCAGCCGCGGUAAUACGGAGGGUGCAAGCGUUAAUCGGAAUUACUGGGCGUAAAGCGCACGCAGGCGGUCUGUCAAGUCGGAUGUGAAAUCCCCGGGCUCAACCUGGGAACUGCAUUCGAAACUGGCAGGCUAGAGUCUUGUAGAGGGGGGUAGAAUUCCAGGUGUAGCGGUGAAAUGCGUAGAGAUCUGGAGGAAUACCCGGUGGCGAAGGCGGCCCCCUGUGACAAAGACUGACGCUCAGGUGCGAAAGCGUGGGGAGCAAACAGGAUUUAGAAACCCUGGUAGUCCCACGCCGUAAACGAUGUCGACUUGGAGGUUGUGCCCUUGAGGCGUGGCUUCCGGAGCUAACGCGUUAAGUCGACCGCCUGGGGAGUACGGCCGCAAGGUUAAAACUCAAAUGAAUUGACGGGGGCCCGCACAAGCGGUGGAGCAUGUGGUUUAAUUCGAUGCAACGCGAAGAACCUUACCUACUCUUGACAUCCAGAGAACUUAGCAGAGAUGGAUUGGUGCCUUCGGGAACUCUGAGACAGGUGCUGCAUGGCUGUCGUCAGCUCGUGUUGUGAAAUGUUGGGUUAAGUCCCGCAACGAGCGCAACCCUUAUCCUUUGUUGCCAGCGGUUAGGCCGGGAACUCAAAGGAGACUGCCAGUGAUAAACUGGAGGAAGGUGGGGAUGACGUCAAGUCAUCAUGGCCCUUACGAGUAGGGCUACACACGUGCUACAAUGGCGCAUACAAAGAGAAGCGACCUCGCGAGAGCAAGCGGACCUCAUAAAGUGCGUCGUAGUCCGGAUUGGAGUCUGCAACUUGACUCCAUGAAGUCGGAAUUGAUAGUAAUCGUGGU
rnacentral:rRNA from 1 species